AGAUCGAACUGUAGAGUUUGAUCCUGGCUCAGAUUGAACGCUGGCGGCAUGCCUUACACAUGCAAGUCGAACGGUAACAGGUCUUCGGAUGCUGACGAGUGGCGAACGGGUGAGUAAUACAUCGGAACGUGCCCAGACGUGGGGGAUAACGAGGCGAAAGCUUUGCUAAUACCGCAUACGAUCUAAGGAUGAAAGCAGGGGACCGCAAGGCCUUGCGCGUUUGGAGCGGCCGAUGGCAGAUUAGGUAGUUGGUGGGAUAAAAGCUUACCAAGCCGACGAUCUGUAGCUGGUCUGAGAGGACGACCAGCCACACUGGGACUGAGACACGGCCCAGACUCCUACGGGAGGCAGCAGUGGGGAAUUUUGGACAAUGGG
rnacentral:rRNA from 1 species